CCUUGGGGGUAAAGAGGCCACUGAUGCCGCUGCCGCCCCCAAUGCUUCUGCAGCUGCCAUUGCCGACAAAGAGCCUCCAUUGUGUGCCAACAAAGAGCCUCCGCUAGCGGGUGUCUGACGUCAAUUCCGGGUCCGCACAGGCUGAAGUGAUCACAACGGCUGAAUUGAAAGUGUGGUGGAUUUCCCUUGCACCCCGGAUUUAAGUAUGCUUUGGGACAACGUGGACUCCAGCACCACCCCUGUGACUACACCUAUACAAGAAACUACCACAACAGCUCCUUCUGCAUGGCCACGUAGCCAGGCUACAAGGAGGCACAGCAGGAAGCAAAAAAAACACAGAGAAUAAAGAGGACCUCAUAUUUGACCAACUGAAACGGUCACUAGCAAAACCACCUGACCGUUUUGAUCAGCUUACCGUCUACAUGGCAAACUCGAUGAGAGAACUGGCCCCCAACCAGGUCCUCCAGCCUGAAAGGCUAAUGUGGGAAACCAUAUACAAAGCACGACAAGGACUCCUCAGUGGUCACUCCCAAUCAACCCCAACCUGAUCCUCCCACCCAACCCCAACUUGUUCCUACCGCCCAACCAAAGCCUGCCCCCCCCCCCCACACA